ensembl:lncRNA
CCGUGGUAACAACAGUCCCCAGUUUGUGCAACUAACUUCUCAGCUGAUUCUGUGAAUGGAAUGUCUUCAGAAAAAUAAAAUGGAUUUCUUUAGAUUUGGGAGAGAGGAGUUCAAAACUAAUGCCUUUUAUAAUGGAGCUCUGUAGGGAGGCAUUUCACCAGAAAAGAUGCAUAUGCUGCAAAAGAAGCUUGGAAAAUUGUCUGGGGUACAUUGUGUGGUUUUCUUUGCUUGCUUCACCUGACUGAAAUAGAUAAAAGUGAGACAUACGCAACCUCGCGGCGCUCCGUACGAGGCGGGGAACUCCGCCCUCCGCUCAGCGACAGCCGCCCCCCUCCCCCACGGCGAGGAGGAAGGGCGUUGGCGUGGACCGCGCGUGCGCGGCGGCACCGGC